GACGAACGCUGGCGGCGUGCUUAACACAUGCAAGUCGAACGGAAAGGCCCUGCUUUUGUGGGGUGCUCGAGUGGCGAACGGGUGAGUAACACGUGAGUAACCUGCCCUUGACUUUGGGAUAACUUCAGGAAACUGGGGCUAAUACCGGAUAGGAGCUCCUGCUGCAUGGUGGGGGUUGGAAAGUUUCGGCGGUUGGGGAUGGACUCGCGGCUUAUCAGCUUGUUGGUGGGGUAGUGGCUUACCAAGGCUUUGACGGGUAGCCGGCCUGAGAGGGUGACCGGCGAAAUUGCGAGUGAAUGAGGCCCCAGCCCCGACGGGGAGGGGAGGGGGGAGAGUGUGAAAGAGGGGGGGGGGGCCAGUUCUGACACCCCCAGGCGGGGGAAGCUGGCUUGGGGGUAGAAACCCUAUUCCCUCGGCACCGAGGCGAUAGUGAGGGUAAGGGAUAAAGAAGCCCCGGCUAACUACGUG
rnacentral:rRNA from 1 species